CACAGUGGGGAAUAUUGGACAAUGGGGGAAAGCCUGAUCCAGCAAUGCCGCGUGUGUGAAGAAGGCCUUCGGGUUGUAAAGCACUUUCAGCAGGGAGGAUAAUGACGUUACCUGCAGAAGAAGCACCGGCUAAUUUCGUGCCAGCAGCCGCGGUAAUACGAAGGGGGCAAGCGUUUAUUGGAAUUACUGGGGGUAAAGCGCGCGUAGGGGGUUUGUUAAGUCGGAUGGGAAAGCCCCGGGCUCAACCUGGGAAUUGCAUUUGAUACUGGCUSRCUAGAGUAUGGUAGAGGGAAGGGGAAUUUCCGGUGUAGCGGUGAAAUGUGUAGAUAUYGGAAGGAACACCAGUGGGGAAGGGGGCUUCCUGGGCCAAUACUGACACUGAGGUGCGAAAGCGUGGGUAGCAAACAGGAUUAGAUACCCUGGUAGUCCACGCCGUAAACGAUGAGAACUAGAUGUUGGGARGUUUAACUUCUCAGUGGCGCAGCUAACGCGUAA
rnacentral:rRNA from 1 species